GUGAAGUCGGAAUCGCUAGUAAUCGUGAAUCAGAAUGUCACGGUGAAUACGUUCCCGGGCCUUGUACACACCGCCCGUCACACCAUGGGAGUGGGUUGCUCCAGAAGUAGCUAGUCUAACCGCAAGGUGGACGGUUACCACGGAGUGAUUCAUGACUGGGGUGAAGUCGUAACAAGGUAGCCGUAGGGGAACCUGCGGCUGGAUCACCUCCUUAAU
rnacentral:rRNA from 1 species